UAUCGUUCCACGAUUCCGUAUGAGUUAGCGUGUAUUCCUUAUUGUUUUAUUCCUGUUACUUGUUGUUAUUUGUUAUUGAACUUAGUGUUUUGUGUGAUGCAAGUCGUUUCGUACUAACGCACGUGUGCGUACGUACUUUAUGUUUGAAAAUCCCUUAGAAUGGGGAACAAGAAGGGACGAAAAUCUAGUGCAUCAGUGAGAUUGAAGCGAAAACGAAAGCAAACAUGCUCCGGAAUGUCGUUACAAAGCUGCUGCACAGCCACCUGAUCCACAUGACCAAAUUGACAGUGAAGUGUGUCAAUCUGCUAAAGAAACCACAAAUCAACCUGAACCAUCUUUUUCUGCUUAUGUAGACUAUUUGAGUGAAGACACUGAAGGAAAUGAUUUUAAUAUAACACAUGAAAAUAUACCUACUGGCCCUGAACAGUAAGUAAAGAUUUUAUUUUAUAUUUAUUACAUGGGUUCAAAACAUUGACAUAUAUCUAAAG